UCCAGACUUUGAUUAUGGCUCAGGACGAACGCUGGCGGCGUGCUUAACACAUGCAAGUCGAACGAGACGAUUGAAAGCUUGCUUUUGAGAGUCGAGUGGCAAACGGGUGAGUAACGCGUAGACAACCUGCCGUAAAGAUGGGGACAACAGUUCGAAAGGACUGCUAAUACCGAAUGUUGUAGAGCUUCCGCAUGGGAAUCCUACUAAAGGUGGCCUCUACUUGUAAGCUAUCGCUUUACGAUGGGUCUGCGUCUGAUUAGCUAGUUGGUGGGGUAACGGCCUACCAAGGCGACGAUCAGUAGCCGGUCUGAGAGGAUGAACGGCCACAUUGGAACUGAGACACGGUCCAGACUCCUACGGGAGGCAGCAGUGGGGAAUCUUCCGCAAUGGGCGCAAGCCUGACGGAGCAACGCCGCGUGAGUGAAGAAGGGUUUCGACUCGUAAAGCUCUGUUGUCGGGGACGAAUGUGGAGAUGGUGAAUAACCAUUUUCAAUGACGGUACCUGACGAGGAAGCCACGGCUAACUACGUGCCAGCAGCCGCGGUAAUACGUAGGUGGCGAGCGUUGUCCGGAAUUAUUGGGCGUAAAGGGAGCGCAGGCGGGAGGUCAAGUCUAUCUUAAAAGUGCGGGGCUCAACCCCGUGAGGGGAUGGAAACUGGUCUUCUUGAGUGCAGGAGAGGAAAGCGGAAUUCCUAGUGUAGCGGUGAAAUGCGUAGAUAUUAGGAGGAACACCAGUGGCGAA
rnacentral:rRNA from 1 species